rnacentral:rRNA from 1 species
AUUGAACGCUGGCGGCAGGCCUAACACAUGCAAGUCGAGCGAGCGGCGGACGGGGGAGUACUGUAUGGGGACUGCCCGAUAGAGGGGGAUAACUACUGGAAAAGGUAGCUAAUACCGCAUACAAUCGGCUAACCCCUGUGGGAUUAGCUAGUUGGUGCGGUAAUGGCUCACCAAGGCAGCGAUCCCUAGCUGGUCUGAGAGGUGGAUCAGCCACACUGGGACUGAGACACGGCCCAGACUCCUACGGAGGCAGCAGUGGGGAAUAUUGCACAAUGGGCGCAAGCCUGAUGCAGCCAUGCCGCGUGUAUGAAGAAGGCCUUAGGUUUGUAAAGUACUUUCAGUCGGGAGGCGGUACCGACAGAAGAAGCACCGGCUAACUCCGUGCCAGCAGCCGCGGUAAUUC